AAAGUACUCCCUCUGUCCCAAAAUUCUUGUCUUAGAUUUGUCUAGAUACGGAUGUAUCAAGUCACAUUUUAGUAUUAGAUACAUCCGUAUCUAGACAAAUCUAAGACAAGAAAUUUGGGACAAAGGGAGUAGUUG
rnacentral:pre_miRNA from 1 species